rnacentral:rRNA from 1 species
AUUGAACGCUGGCGGCAGGCCUAACACAUGCAAGUCGAACGAGUGGCGGACGGGUGAGUAAUGUCUGGGAAACUGCCCUAUGGAGGGGGAUAACUACUGGAAACGGUAGCUAAUACCGCAUACCAUCGGAUGUGCCCAGAUGGGAUUAGCUUGUAGGUGAGGUAACGGCUCACCUAGGCGACGAUCCCUAGCUGGUCUGAGAGGAUGACCAGCCACACUGGAACUGAAACACGGGCGAGACUACUACGUGAGGAAGCAGUGGGGAAUAUUGCACAAGGGGCGCAAGCCUGAUGCAGCUAGGCCGCGUGUAUGAAGAAGGCCUGCGGGUGGUAAAGUACUUGCAGCGGGGAGGCGUUACCCGCAGAAGAAGCACCGGCUAACUCCGUGCCAGCCGCCGCGGUAAUUC